rnacentral:rRNA from 1 species
GAUGAACGCUGGCGGCGUGCCUAAUACAUGCAAGUCGAGCGAACGGACGAGAAGCUUGCUUCUCUGAUGUUAGCGGCGGACGGGUGAGUAACACGUGGAUAACCUACCUAUAAGACUGGGAUAACUUCGGGAAACCGGAGCUAAUACCGGAUAAUAUUUUGAACCGCAUGGUUCAAAAGUGAAAGACGGUCUUGCUGUCACUUAUAGAUGGAUCCGCGCUGCAUGAGCUAGUUGGUAGGGUAACGGCUUACCAAGGCAACGAUGCAUAGCCGACCUGAGAGGGUGAUCGGCCACACUGGAACUGAGACACGGUCCAGACUCCUACGGGAGGCAGCAGUAGGCAAUCUUCCGCAAUGGGCGAAAGCCUGACGGAGCAACGCCGCGUGAGUGAUGAAGGUCUUCGGAUCGUAAAACUCUGUUAUUAGGGAAGAACAUAUGUGUAAGUAACUGUGCACAUCUUGACGGUACCUAAUCAGAAAGCCACGGCUAACUACGUG